CUUUUAUUUACACCCAAUCGCCAGGGAACUACGAGCUAAGCUUAAAACCCAAAGGACUUGACGGUACCCCAUAUCCCCCUAGAGGAGCCUGUCCUGUAAUCGAUAAUCCACGUUAAACCUCACCAUUUUUAGUUAAUCAGCCUGUAUACCUCCGUCGUCAGCUUACCACGUGAGCGCCAAUUAGUGAGCUUAAUGUUUUUCACCAAUACGUCAGGUCAAGGUGCAGCAAAUAAAGUGGGAAGAGAUGGGCUACACUCUCUAUUUUAGAAAAAACGAAAAACUACCUAUGAAACCUAGUUAGAAGGCGGAUUUAGCAGUAAAAAGGAAUCAGCAUGUCCAUUUUAAUCCGGCACUGGGGUGUGUACACACCGCCCGUCACCCUCUUCAAAGCUUCAAACACAGUUUUUAACAAAUUUAAGCACGAC
rnacentral:rRNA from 1 species